UAUUCGUCUUUGUGAAAUAGGUCAGUCGCCAUGAACCCGCAGGAGCAGGCAUGUUGUGUGGAGAGGUUUAUAGAAACGGAAUCGUUAUACAGGUCCCGAAGACGUUUCGGAACAACGGAUUAUAAGACGCUACCAUCAAAACCCGAGCACGCGCCUGGUACCAGCAGUUUAAGGAGACCGGAAAUAUUUUGAAGAAGACAGACGCCACCACGAACACACCAUCGCGUCUUGUUACUCCACGUGUUGUUACAAUCCACUGCAUUGCAACCCCAAUGCUGGGAUACGAUAAAUUUCUCCUGAGAACAGGACACGAGUCAUGUCAGAUGUCCGGAGCUUACUACGAGAAUAGGUCCUCCUUUCUCAGGUUUCCUUGGUAUUUGAUGUGUGCGUUUGCGAGUAGUGAGUGACCAGCCGACUAACUGCACAAUUUUUACUCAAUCCAGAUUUUGACUGCCAGAGCCAUCUAAUAGUGAAUGAGAGACUUGGAUGAGAUAUGACCGCUGAAUUUUGCUUACGAAACAUCUCGUAUCAUUUUCGUAAGGUUCUUUUA